GGGGGGAUGUCCGAGUGGCUAAAGGAGACGGGCUGUAAACCCGUUGGCUUACGCCUACGCAGGUUCGAAUCCUGCUCCCCCCA
rnacentral:tRNA from 1 species